rnacentral:tRNA from 1 species
GCUCAGGUGGCGGAAUUGGUAGACGCGCUAGAUUAAGGAUCUAGUGCCGCAAGGCGUGGGGGUUCGAGUCCCCCCUUGAGCACCA